CUCUCCCACAAUCCUCUGAGAAGGGGGGUCAGUUGGAAUGUAGAUUGCGAAGGAGAAGGUUUGGAGAGAAAGAGAGCAGGGAGAGGAAUUCACCGGAACCAUGACUGACAAGUUGCCAGUGAUGAGAAUUGGAGUUGUGGGAUUUGGACAUUUAGGGCAGUACCUUGUGGAGCGGCUCCAGAGAGAAGGGGCCCAGGUGGGCCUGACACUGGUCUUUGUGUGGAACAGAAACACUGACAAACUCAGAGAAUCAGUGGCUGAGGAGCUGAUUCUACACAACCUCCCAGACUUUACAGACAGGGGUGCUGAUGUGAUUGUGGAGGUGUGUCAUCCCAAAAUUGUAAAAGACUUUGGAGUCCAAUUACUCUCUAAGGCCCAUUUUCUGGUGGGCUCUCCUUCAGCCCUCUCAGACCCACAGCUGAACCAGGAACUGCGCCAGGCUGCAGAGCAUCAUGGGAGGACCCUAUAUGUCCCCAGUGGUGCAUUGUGGGGAGACCAGGAUAUCCUGAGACUCAAUGAUAGUGGCUCUUUAAAGGCACUGUUCAUCCGGAUGUCCAAGCACCCGUCAUGUUUCCGUCUGACAGGAGACGUGCUGUCUGAUUGGACAGAGGAUGAGGGGAGGCGGGUCUUAUUCAGUGGCUCGGUGGCAGAGCUCUGUCCCGUCGCCCCUAACAACGUCAACACCAUGGCGGCAGCGGCCAUUGCAGCGGGGACCCUGGGUUUCGCUGGCGUCCAGGGGGAGAUUGUGUCGGAUACGGCACUAAGUGAUUACCAUGUGGUGGAGGUGGAGGUUACUGGUGCCAAUGGCUUCACAGUGAAUACAGUGAGGAGGAACCCAGCCAAACUGGGAGCUGUAACUGGGAGUGCCACCUACAACUCCUUCUGGAGCAGCUUACUAGUGUGUAAGGGACAUGGUGGCCGGGUUUACUUGUGCUGAAGGGGGAGGGAUUUCAGAAGACAAUUCCCUCUACCAACCAAACAUUCACAACACUAUGGAUUGACAAAACCUUCAAGUCUGCAUCUACAAUUCUGGGGAAUCAACUGUUGCACCUUCAUCCUACAAAGUCCUACUACUGUAUCCCAGCAGCACCUCCCACCUUCAUCCUACAAGGUCCUACUACUGUAUCCCAGCAGCACCUCCCACCUUCAUCCUACAAGGUCCUACUACUGUAUCCCAGCAGCACCUCCCACCUUCAUCCUACAAAGUCCUACUACUGUAUCCCAGCAGCACCUCCUUUUCUCUACAAAUUAAAAUAUGACUUUGUGAAGUACCAAUUUAAAUGAGCAACUCUCUCAGGGUGAUGGCAGGCACCACAUUCAUUAGCAAUCGUCUAGCAACAACCCACAACUUUUACAGCUCUUAUGCAGUUACGUCCACAUCCACUACAAUACAUGUUAAUAGUAACGUAUGAUGAUCUUUAUGUAGUGCCUUGGUGUUGACACCACACACACCAUUGUGACCUUAGAACCUUCUAGUUUUAUCUGCAAAAAUAAGGUUCUGAACCCUAAUUGGUUUGAAUUAUAUAUUUUUAUCUUGUAUUCUUUUGAACUUAACAUGAAUUGAGUUAUUUAGAGUACUAUAUAGGUACAGGACAAGGAAUAUCAAAAUGUAAAUAACAAAGUGCAGAUAGAACCUUAUAGUUCCAAGCUCUCACAGUAUUUCCUGUUGUAGUAAAACCUCAACAAAAGAGA